rnacentral:rRNA from 1 species
AGUGAACGCUGGCGGCGUGCUUAACACAUGCAAGUCGAACGAGAACGGAAUAUAGCUUGCUAUAUUUGUCAGCUAAGUGGCGCACGGGUGAGUAAUGUAUAGAUAACCUGCCCUUAAGAAUGGAAUAACAGUUGGAAACGACUGCUAAUGCCCUAUAUGCCUUUAAUACAUAAGUAUGCAAGGGAAACGCUUUAGUGCUUAAGGAUGGGUCUGUAUGGUAUCAGCUUGUUGGUGAGGUAAUGGCUCACCAAGGCUAUGACGCCUAACUGGUUUGAGAGGAUGAUCAGUCACACUGGAACUGAGACACGGUCCAGACUCCUACGGGAGGCAGCAGUGGGGAAUAUUGCACAAUGGACGAAAGUCUGAUGCAGCAACGCCGCGUGGAGGAUGACACAUUUCGGUGCGUAAACUCCUUUUAUAUAGGAAGAUAAUGACGGUACUAUAUGAAUAAGCACCGGCUAACUCCAUGCCAGCAGCCGCCGUAA